rnacentral:rRNA from 1 species
GACGAACGCUGGCGGCGUGCUUAACACAUGCAAGUCGACGACGCUACUGAGUAGCAUUAUUUAGUAGUGGAGUGGCGCAAGGGUGAGUAAUGUAUACGUAACCAACCCAUCGGAGACGGAUAACAUUUCGAAAGGGAUGCUAAAACGGCAUGAAGCCACGAUUUCGCAUGAGAUUGUGGUUAAAGAACCGGUAACAGGUUGCCGAUGGCUGGGCGUAUAUACUAUUAGCUAGUUGGUAGUGUAAUGGCCUACCAAGGCGACGAUCGGUAGCUGGUCUGAGAGGAUGAACCACCACAAUGGCACAAAGACACGGGCCAGACACCUACGGGAGGCAGCAGUGGGGAAUAUUGAACAAUGCGCGCAAGGGUAACCCAGCAACGCGGGGUGGAGGAGGAAGCGCGUAAGGUUGUAAACUUUGACAAGAAGGGAAGAAAGGCUAUGGUAAAAGGCCAUAGAAUGACGGUACAUGCCGGAAGCCCCGGCUAACUACGUG